GGUAUUAAUUCGAUGACAACGACGUAAAACCUUAACCUACCCUUACAGUGUCCGGAAUCCCGAAGAGAUUUGGGAGUGCUCGCAAGAGAACCGGAACACAGGUGCUGCAUGGCUGUCGUCAGCUCGUGUCGUGAGAUGUUGGGUUAAGUCCCGCAACGAGCGCAACCCUUGUCAUUAGUUGCCAUCAUUUGGUUGGGCACUCUAAUGAGACUGCCGGUGACAAACCGGAGGAAGGUGGGGAUGACGUCAAGUCCUCAUGGCCCUUAUGGGUAGGGCUUCACACGUCAUACAAUGGUCGGUACAGAGGGUUGCCAACCCGCGAGGGGGAGCUAAUCCCACAAAGCCGAUCGUAGUCCGGAUCGCAGUCUGCAACUCGACUGCGUGAAGUCGGAAUCGCUAGUAAUCGUGGAUCAGCAUGUCACGGUGAAUACGUUCCCGGGUCUU
rnacentral:rRNA from 1 species